rnacentral:lncRNA from 1 species
GAGCAUUAAAUUUUAAAUCAUAAAGUGAAAAUAUGAUUAAAAUUGUCAUGUUUGUUCAUGUUAUCACUUUCAUUCUUUAUCUAUUUCUUGUCAAUUUGAACGUUAACGGUAAGUUUUUUUUUUCUCAAAAUUUCUUUCUUACAUAAUGUUUUAUCUUAUGUUAGCAAUAUUUAGUUUUAUUCUCUUUUUUCAUUAUAGCUGGGCGUCGUAAAUGUUUUAGUGAUGAUGAUUGUCCAACAAAAGAUUGCGGCACUCCUUUGUUACCUGUGUGUUUUUUAAGAAUAUGUAUUUGUAUUUGAGUGACUUCACAUAUAUGAUAUGAUGAUCAAAUCCUAUAACAUUAAAUGAGUUCUUCUUAGUUAUGGUAUUGACAUCUUAUAGUUUGAUUCUCAUUUAGUUAUUUUUUCAAAUCUCAAGGGCUAUUGUUAUGGUUUUAAAAUAGAAUAAAAAAUAUUAUAUAGACUAUCUUCUUCUUGUUAUAAGAAAUUAGAAAACCUUAAAUUAUUCUAGAAUAUAUUAAACAUGUUUUAUUAUUAUUUUGAAUUUUUUUUCAAAAAUAUAAAAUUAAUUAGUAAUGUGAAUUAUCUAUCAAAAUGUUAAUUUAUAAUAAUAAUGUUUUAUUUACCAUAUCAAUUUAGAAUAAUAACAUAAAAAAAUACAUUCAUGUGAUAAUAGUAAUUCUAUUAGUUUAAAUACUCCAUUUGGUCAGGUAAAUAUACUUCAUUUCGAAAAAUAUAAGGGAUAUCAUCCUAUUUUCUUAUCUCUUGAUUUCCUUAGUUUUAUAUAUUAUAACAUUAUAUAUAGUAUGUAGUAUUAUAUAAUUAGACUACUAAUUUAUAUCAUCCUUUCAGUUCACAAAAUAUCAUAAAAUAAAUAUUUAAGUACUCGAUCUUUUCAUUAUGUUGUUAGUAUGAUUGUUUCCAUCGGAUGUGCUUACUACUGCUAGAUUAUAUAUCCUUAUCACUUUUAUUAUUAUUAUUAUUAUUAUUAUUAUUAUUAUUAUUAUUAUUAUUAUUAUUAUUAUUAUUAUUAUUUGUCUUANGGAUGUGCUUACUACUGCUAGAUUAUAUAUCCUUAUCACUUUUAUUAUUAUUAUUAUUAUUAUUAUUAUUAUUAUUAUUAUUAUUAUUAUUAUUAUUAUUAUUAUUAUUUGUCUUAGGUAGGAUGUGAUUGUAUGAGAAUUAUUUGCAACCACGAUCCAGAUCCAAUAUCUAUUGUAGAAAAUGGGAAAGCGCACUACCUAUAACCAUAGUAAAAUGUAUAAAGGUUCUAAUAUCUAUUGUCAUACCCUAAUUUUUCCUUUUCCUUUGAUCAAUAAAUCAAUACAUUUAUCAUGACAUUUGCAUCAUCUACAUAUCAUAGUAUAUUUUUCUUUCCGCAUAAUGCUUAAAAAGUCGACUAGAAUAAAAUAUUCGAUUUUACCGAAAUAUCAGUUGAAUCAAGUUUCAAAUGUGCGUAAACUUGAUGGACAAAUAAUUUUGAGAUCGAACCUGCCACUAUUAGUUAUAUCGAUCUCACUAGUGCAAAGUGACAAAUAUAAUUUUAACUUUUACUUCCAUUAUACAGAAAACAAAAACAUGUGUAAAUAAGAAACAAAGAUUAAUAAAUAAAAUACCAUUUUAAGUAUUAGCACAUGACAAUAGACAUCUUAUUUUUAAUAAAAGGGUGUAAAUUAAAAUUAUUAUUAUAAUCAAAUUUCUAUUACACCCGUUAAAGAUAAAACGAAUGUAAGUUUAGAUUGAUUAAAAAAAUUAUUUAUUUUUAUAGUUUUAAAUAUUAAUCUGAACAAAUUAACAAACCACAAUAUUUUUUAUUAAGGGUUAAUUGAGUAAGUAAGUAAAUUAAUGCGUUUAAAUUUAUUAAGUUAAUAUUAUGUAAAUAAAAUAAUAAAAAACCCAUUUUUCUGAAACCCGAAAAGCUUCAUCGCCCAUCCUUCCUCUCCCAAUUUCCAUCGACCAAAACACGAUCAUGAAUAAAUAAAGAGUAUCUCUUACGCAUCUUAUACUUGUAAUGAGUGUAAAUGUAAAACUAACAGUCUUUUAAACAUGUGGCAUGAGAAAAACAAUAGCAAUUGUGACAGCCUUUUAAAGACCAACAGUGGCAACAAUAACUGAAAGAAAGCAACCUAUUUUUCUUGCCUACACAAAAUAUUUAGUUUUGAAAUUAAUAAAACAACGUAAGAAAAUACAAGAUGAAUGAGGGUGUUGAUAUAUAGGACAUACAUAUGAAAAAAUAAACAAAAGGGAUUUUAAAAAAUAUUAGAGAUAAGGAUAGGAAUAAUAUUAUAGGAUACUAUGUAAAAUGAAUUCAUAGUAGAACAAGUGAAAGUGACCAUGAUAUUGGCCCAUUUGUUGUGAAUAUGGAAGUAGCAGAGGAACACAGCCAUCAUUUGAGGACUAAAUAAGAAUUAGGAAUCAAGAGGAUUGAAGAGUAGGAGACAAUUCAGUCAUGUUUGUAAUGAGCUAAGUGUAAGAUCAUGUUUGUGAAUAAUUACUGCUUUGCUAUAACUUUCAAUUUCAAUAUUAUUUAACUUUUGUUUCUAGCUUUUCAUUGAGUUUUUCCAAUCUUUAUCCAAUUUUGGCAACCUUGAGUUAAUUCUCUGUUGUUAGUAUCUGAUUUGUUAAAUAUUGUUUUUGGUUUUGAUCAUAUUCAAACUUGAUGUUAGUGGCAUCAUCAUGUGUUUUUGAAGGUUGCUUUUAUGCUACAAAGGCUUGGUUUUAGAUGGAAGGCUAGGAGUUUUAGUCGUCCAUUGUGUUGAAAGUGCUGUAGUGCCCACAGUGUUGCAGUAGAUGCAUCUUCUUUGUUGAAAUUUAUCAAAAGGUUAGCCUUGGGUAAUUCUGACGGCUUGCCUGUGGUUCCACAUAGGAGGCUAAGUUUUAUCAGAUCAGUCGAAAUUAUUCAAUCAUACAUAAAAAAUAAGUUGGAUGAUGCGUCAAAAAAAUGUUAUUUACGACCAUUGUUAAAUUGGUAAGUGGAUGUUUCCUUUAAGAUUUAAUAAUUUUUAUAUAUGUUAUUUUGUAAUAUUUAAAUUGUAGUUAUUCUAACAUUUUUGUUUUGAAACUACAGUAAUCAUUGACAGAUAUUUGUUAUUUAUCCCGAAGAUAAUGAUAUCUUUUGGUUUAGUUCAUUAAACAAAUCUCUCAAGAAAAAUAUUUGUAAACUUGUAGAUAUUCACAGACACCUCAUAUGAAAAAGAGACAAUUGAUAACCUUUGACAACUUUGGGCUCACUGUUUUUUAGAAAUAAUUGAAGAGCAAAAGGUUGAAGAGCAAAUGCAAAUGGCCGAAGAUCAUGAGGACCAAAGCGAAGGAGAAAUAUAUAUAUAUAUAUAUAAUGAUGGUGAUGAUGAUGAUGAUACGAUGAUUUUUGAUGUUUGUUUUGGUUGUGUUAUUAAUUUACCAAAUAUUUAGCAAUAUACAAAAAUAUUUGAUUAAAUUAAAUAUAAUAUAAUUAUGAAACUAAAAUAAAUAUAUUUUAUUUAAAGAAAAUUGGGUGUAAACUUGUCAACUAUAGUAAACAUUGCUCAUUUUACACCAAUUUUUUUAUCAAAAGGGGUGUAAAUUUGAUUGAUUCAAAUGCAAUUAUUUAAAAAUUCACACCUGUUUUCUAUAAAACAGGGUAUAAUAUGUCAUAUAUACACCCAUUUUUUAAAAAGGUGUAACAUACCAUCUAUAAAUUUACAUAUGUAAUACACCCGUUUUUUAAAAAACAGGGUGUAAUAUGAAAUAUAUUUACCCCCAUUUUCAACAAAAGAGGGUGUAAUAUAACAUGUAUUUACAUCCGUUUUAAAAUCGGUGUAAAUUCGUCAAAAAUUUCUCAUCUGUUGAAUUAACACCCUCUAAUAAUGGGUGUUAAAUGUAAAAAAAAGGGUGUAGAUUACUCUUUCUACACUAGUGUCUACGAUUCACAUACUUCAAUCUGAUGUGCUCGUUUUUUUUUUCGGUCCCGUUUAUGCUCACAUUUCGAUCUUUAUCUGUCAGUUUUCCCUAACUUUAUUCCGAUUAGAUCAUUUUAAUGCAUGCAUUUUGUUUUUUCGCGCAUUUUUGCGCCUGAUGUUUAUUCAUUUUUAUUCCUUUUAUAUUUAUUUUUUAAAAAAAUGUUCAGAAAAGAUAAAUAGAAUUAACUAUGUUUUUAUAUUGAUUUUAUUUUGUUUAUUUAAAAAAAAUUGAAUUUUAUUUUAUUUCAUUGUUUAAACUAAUUUCUUAUCCCAUAAGCUAGCUAGAGGGUGUUUUUGGAUUUUUGUUACAUUUGCAACCCUAUAUUUCCAUUUCACUGAAAACAAAACGACGCCCACACAAAGAGAGAGGCCAUCACAAGAAAUCUAGUAAGUCUCGAAGAGCCUGUGUUGUUUGGGAGAGCGCAAGUAAUUUCUCAAGUGAUGAAAGCUCAACUUCAAGUGUCGUAUCGUCCCGAAUUUGCCUCAUGGGAAAUAGAAAGAAGAAGAAAAAUGUAAUUCUUUCUAAAUUUAAAUAUUUUAAUAAAUUAUCUUAAUCUCAAUUACAAAAAACUUUUGAAAAUCUUCAUAGAGCAGCCUUAGACGCUUUUAAGAAGUUAUCUUCACACGAAAAUCUUUUUACAUUUAGAAGCUAAAGUUUUAGAAUCAGAAAAGAAGAUGGAAGCUCUUAAGAUAUCUAUGAUAAAUAUUCAAAAUGACAAGUAUGAGGAUGAAAAACAUUCAAGGUUUGGUUGUGAAUCUUAUUACGAUUGGCAAAAAGAGAUAAAUACUCUUCAUGUUAAAUUGGACAAAGCCUUACAACCAAAAAUUGCACUUUCUAUUGAUCCAUCAAAGUUUGAAUGGUCUUUGAACUAUUCAUAUAAAAAGCAUAAAUAUGUUUAAAAGGAUUCAAAUAGAAAAAACACAUCUCAUCACAACUUAUCUUGUCACUAUUGUUGCAAGAAAGACCAUACUAUUGAAAAAUGCAAGUUUAGGAAAGUUUUUGUUCCUAAAGGAGAUUUUCAAUGGUUGCCCAAAUGCAACCUUGAUUUCACUCACUCUCAAUAACCCAAUGAAAAAUUGGUACCUAUUUCUCUUGUUGGCUUCUACAAGUUGAAUGUCAUGACUCUACGGAGAAGAUGUGGUUUUUCGAUAGUGGAUGCUCAAAACAUAUGACGAGUGACAUAUCUAUAUUCAUUGACUUUGUGACAAAGAAGAAUGGUUACAUUACUUAUGGAGACAACAAUAAAUGAGCAAUACUUGGAAAAGGUAUUGUAGGUAAUCCCUCAUCUACUACUAUCUCCGAUGUUAUGUUAGUUGAUUGUCUUAAACAUAACCUCCUUAGAAUUAGUCAACUAUGUGACAAAGGAUUUAAAGUUACUUUUACGAAAUCUUGUUCCUUGUUUGAACAUAAUGAAAAGAAGGAUUGUAUGUUUAAAGGCUUGAGGGUUAAUAACACCUAUAUGCUUAAAUUAGAUGAUGUAUCCUUGGUUGGAACUAAGUGUCUAGUGACCAUGAGUGAAAACUAUUGGUUAUGGCAUAAACGCCUAGCUAUGUCAACUUUGAUUUACUAAACAAAGUGAAUUCAAAAUAUUUAGUAAUUAUUCUACCAAAAAUAAAGUUUUCAAAAGACCGUCUAUUUGAUACAACAAACAAGAGUCUCAUUUAAAUCGAAAAAAUCAUUUCAACUUUGAGACCUCAUGGGCUUCUUCAUAUGGAUAUCUUUGGUCCCUUAAGGACCAAAAGCAUACGAGGUAACUAUCAUGGUUUUGUUAUAGUAGACGAUUACUCGAGAAUUUUUUAGGUCAUGCUUUUGUAUAGUAAAGAUGAGAUAGUGUCAUCUUUCAAACAAUUUGCUAGAUUAUCCUAAAAUAAGAUGAAUUUUAAAAUUGUUUAUAUCCGAAGCGAUCACGGAGAAGAUUUUGAAAAUCACGUCUUUAAGAAGUAUUUUGAUAAACAUGGAAUUGAGCAUAACUUCCCCGCUCCUAGAACUCCACAACUAAGCAGUGUUAUGGAGCGUAAAAAUUGUAUUUUAGAGGAGUUGGCUAGAAUUAUGUGUUAAAACAAGAUUUGGUUCGGCUUCUAUAGCUUGAGUUUUGAUGAUAACAAUAUUGUAUUAUUGUGUGAAAACAAUUUUGGUACCCUAAUGGUUUGUUAUUGUGUAGAUGUAACAACCAGUUCUGAUUCUAAAUAUAUGAUGUGCAACGUCAUCAGUUUCUGAACUAUGUGUUCCAAAUCUGCUUCUACGCCAGCUAUUAGAAGUUCUGAAAGAUGUUUAAUAUUGUUGUUGUAAUGAUAUUUCUACUUCUGUACUGAUUCACUCAUGAGAAGCUUCUGAGGAGACACUAUGUUCCUGCUGCAAUAUUCUCUCAGUUCAUGCUUCUGGACGAGACUCUAAUCACCAAACUUUUGAAGAAUGGCAAGCUUCUUGAGUUGUAUUAUAUAGCUGAAGAUUCUGAAGAUCUCAUGCCAGACAAUUGAAGUUAUCAAGGUUAUGACUGAAGAUUAUGAAGAUCUCAAGCCAGACUACGGACGAUGCCAAGGUUCUGACCAAAGAUUCUGAAGUUUCUAAAUCCAUCUUUAUGUUUCUUCAUUUCAUGCUUCAUCAAAUUUCAUCAUAAGUCAAUAAACCGUAAGAUAAGAUCAAAAUGGGAAUGUGAUCAAAUAGUACAUAACACAAAUCGAACAUCCUUCCACUACCUGAUUUCAUGGGCAAGGACAAUACUAUGCAUCACACAUGUCACUGAUUUUGUGGGCGAAGGACAAUACACAGUUUCAUUCCUUUCCCAUCCAACAGUGGACAGUCGCUCAAAUGUGCUUUCCCCAUUUUUCCCUCCAACAGUCUUAAGCUUAUUCUAUAUAAGUAAGACUUGGAGACUUGAAGAAAAACGCCGGUGAUACAAUAUCUUGACAAGUCUAUUUCUUUGUGAAAAGCUACCAUUCUUUUGUACACAGUUUUUCUUUAAGUGUUUGUUAUUCAUUUGUGUAAAAUUUGCUUGUGUAGGAAGCAUCUUGUAAGACACAAAGUAUUAUUCAAACUAUUUGUUUGAUUCCUUAAGGAGGUUAUCCUUGAGAAGACAAAGAAAGUUGUUCUUUGUGAGUCCUUAAGGAGACUAGGGUAUAGUUGGAUCCUUGAGAAGACAAAGAAGGUUAUUCUUUGUGUUUGUUGUAAUAUGUUGAUUAUAGUGAAUUAAGUCCUUGUGUAUAAGGCAAAAUCACCUUGGCGGGUGGACUAGAUAAGCUUUGAGUUUCAAGCGAACCAGGAUAAAAAUAAUUGUGUUUUUAUCUCUUUGUUAUUAACUUGUUAAUGGUGUUCUUGUUUUGGAAAAAGCUUUUUCUUUUAAAACCCAAUUCAAACCCCCCUUUCUUGUGUUUUUCACACCUUCAUUUGGUAUCAGAUCUCUGGUUCUAAUUGUGAUAAAAACUUUUAUCAACACCUCACAGUAUUCAAUAUCGAUCCAGUUUGUAUGAGAAACAUUGGUCGCUGCUAACGCUUCUAACAUUGUUAAUAAUAAUGAAAGAGAUCAUUAUAACGCAAAACCACCUAUCUUUGAUGGUGAGAAAUUUGACUAUUGGAAAGAUAGAAUAUAAAAUUUCUUUCUUGGUUACGAUGUUAAUCUUUGGGAUCUUGUAGUCAAUGGCUAUGUUCAUCCAGUAAAUGCUGAAGGAAAUAAUAUAGAAAGAAGUGCUAUGUCUGAUCAACAGAAGAAAGACUUCAAAAAUCAUCAUAAGGCCAAAACCAUAUUGUUUAAUGUUAUCUCUUAUAUGGGGUAUGAGAAGAUAACAAAUAGAGAUUAUGCCAAAUCCAUUUUUGACUCUUUGAGGAUAACUCAUGGGGGAAAUGCUCAAGUAAAGGAGACAAAGGCCUUGGCCUUAAUCCAGAAAUAUGAGGCAUUCAAAAUGCAAGAUUAUGAAACAAUUUAGACUAUCUUCUCAAGUUUUCAGAUGCUCGUUGCAGCAAAGUUCUGGACAAAGGAUACUCUACUGCUGAUCAUGUCAAGAAAAUUAUCAAAAGUCUUCCCAAAAAAUGGACACCUAUGGUAACAUCCUUGAAGUUGACAAAGGAUCUCAACAACAUUAGUCUUGAAGAACUUGUUAUUUCUUUAAGAAGCAACAAGAUGAGCUUGAAGAAGAUGAACCUCAAAAGUGAGGUAAAUUUUUUGCUCUAAAAUCCAAGCCUAAGAAGACAAGAGCCUAUCAAGCCAAGGAAGAAUUAGAAGGAUCUAAUGAAGACUCAGAAGAUGAUAAUGAGUUGUCUCUAAUUUCAAAGAGAGUCAACAAACUCUGGAAACACAUGAAAAAUGGUCAAGGGAAGUUCAUAGGAGUCAGAAGGACUGUUGUUCGCUUUGAUUCUUGGUUUGGACAAAAGAAGCAAGGUUCUAGAAAAGAAGUUAUUUGCUUCAAGUGCAAGGAGCCAGGCCAGUAUGAAAAUGAUUGUCCUAAGCUGAAGAAGGACAAAAGGCCCAAGAAGAAUUUCUCUAAAGUCAAGAAGGGGCUGAUGGCUAUUUAGGAUGACUCAGAAUCUGAAAAAGAAGAUUUUGAUGAAGAAAAAGCCAACGUUGCAUUCAUGGAAACUACAAAGGAUCCCACAAGUUCUGAAGAACCAGAAGACAAGGUAUUAUCAGAAUCAAAAUUCGACUUCGAUUCUAAAGAGGUAUUUUAUAACCUAUCUUGUUCUGAUAUUGAAUCAUGUCUCUCUGAAAUGCUGGAAAAGUACCAUAGUCUUCAGAGUAAAUACAAGGACCUUAAACAAGUCCAAGUAAUUGCUUCUAUAACUAAGAGAGCUUGAGAAAGAUAUUUCCUCUCUAAAUGAAAACGUAUUUUCUUUAGAAACUAAAAACUCUUCUUUGAAAAGAAAUUUUUUAAAACUAGAGGAGGAAAUAAUCUCAAAAGCUUCUAGUACUGAUUGCGUCAUUAGAUAUGAAAGAGAAUUCCAGUACUUUAUGGCUAAAAGCAUAGGUAUAAGCAAAAUGGAUUCCUUGAUCUAUGGAGUUAGCAAAAAUGCAAAGAAAGGUUUAGGUUGUACAUAAUCGAUAAAACCUGACGAAAGUCAGAAGGUAAAACUAAAACCUCUCUAUGUGCAUUUCGUUUGGCACUGAGCUUGAUACUUCUGCACAGACACAAAAGCAUAUAAAGGAUAAGAACUCUGUUCUGAAACCUAAGUAUCAUGCACAAAUCUCUCAUGAUUAUCCUUAUGCUAAAAGACCAAAAGUUGUAAGAAACUCUAGGAAAAUUAACAAGAGAGGACCCAAAAAGUGGGUACCUAAGGAUAAAAUAAUUUAUGUUGCAUACAUCCUUAACAGCUCAGUUGAAACACCAGUCAUGGUACCUGGAUAGCGGAUGCCCGCGACACAUGACGUGUGGAAGGUCCAUGUUCCAAGAUUUGGAACUUAAGCCUGAAGGCUUCGUUGGUUUCGGAGGAAACCAGAAAGAAAAGAUCAUUCCUUCUAUUAAUAAUGUUCUUUUAGUUGAUGUCUGAUGCAUAACCUAUUGUCUAUUAGUCAACUUAGUCACAAUGGUUAUGAUAUCAUCUUUAAUCAAAAGUCGUGUAAAGAUAUAAGUCAGAAAGAUGGUACAAUCCUUUUUAAUGGAAAGAGAAAGAACAACAUUUAUAAAAUUAGACUUUAUGAUCUAUGAGAGUGAAAAAAUAGUUUUGGGCCAGGAUAAGACCCACCCGGAUUCUAUACUUAACAUAAUAAUAAAACAAACAAAAAAAUAAUUAUACGCAACUGGCUGCAGCAUGGAAAUAAAGAGAUCAAUAAUGUUCAAAUUCGGGCAGCAGUAUAGGAACAAAUAAUGAAAAUCUAGGGGGGGUAUGAGACUGAAAAAAUAGUUUUGGGUCAGGAUAAGGCCCACCCGGAUUCUAUACUUAACUUAAUAACAAAAAAUAAUUAAAAAUAAAAAUUAAAAAAAUAAAAGAAAAAAGAAAAACUAAUUACAUGCAACUGGCAGCAGCAUGGGAACAAAGAGAUCAAUAGUAUUCAAAUCCUAGAAAACUCCAACCGCACUAAGAUAUGUGGCAGAGGGAAAAGGAAACAAAAGAAUUAAUUAAAAAAAACUUCUCUCUCAUUGAUCGUAAAUCAAAAUAAAAAAAACUUCCCUUAACCAAAUUCAUCUUCUCUCUCAUACUUGAUAUUUUCACAGUACGAGUCUCUCUCUCUCUCUCAACGUAUCUCGUUUCAGAAAAAAGAGACAGAAGAAUGAAAACCAUGGAGCCAUGAGACCUUCCACUUGGCUAUCUCUCCCACGAUGUUGUUUUUGGGUUAGAGGGGAGUGGCUUCGUUACAAUGAUGCGGUGGGACUUCACAGGCGAUAAGCGCUAACGAUGGUCGGAAUCUGGCAUAUGCAAUGGCAAUCAAGCAAAAAUGCGUGACAACACCAUGCUCCUGUCUACAAGCCCAGUUUCUUAAGGUUCAAUUUCAUUAUCAAAGUAUUUUUGUUUGUUCACUUAUUAUAGGAAUUAGAUUCAUGUGAAACUUAGUUUAGUUCAAAUUAUAGCAUAAUAAACAUGACAAGAAAAGUCAAGUGAAAUCAAAUAGCAUCAAAUGAAACAAUGAAGACAAAUGAACAUUCGAAAAGGAUAACAGAUUUACCAGCUGGUUGUGAGUAAAGAGUGUCGACUUGCAGAAUUGGGAAAAGAUGUGUUCUCUGGUCCAGAUUUCUGGCAAGCUAAACUGAGUUAAAUUUCUUUAACUCUCCUUUCCUUUUUACUGUUCCGACUCUUGUUGUCCCGUUCAGGCGUUUAUAGUGAUUUGGUGGUCAUGAUAUUACUAUUAAGAUUUGUGGUUGUUUGGAAUGUGUUUUGUUUUGUUAUUAUGGUGAGAAGUAUGAAGAGGAGCAGAUGUGGAAAUGUGUGAUGGAAUGCUUGUUGUAUGAGUGUUAGAAAUGUUGGUAUUGAGGGAAAUAAUGACAGUGAAUAUUAUGUGUAUAGAUGUAAAAACGAGAAAUGUGGUUAUGAGAAAAAUGUUUACUAUUACAAAAAUAAAGUAGUGUGGAGUAAUAUGGUGGAUUUUGCUGAAUUUUUUCUUUCGUGGCUUGCUUAAUUUUUCUAUGCAAUAGUGGUUGUUCUUACUUUUGGUGAAUAGUGGAUGCCUCUUCUCAUUCUCAUCUCUUAGUAUUUAUAGUUGGAGAUUAGGGUUUAUUAGUGAGAAUGCACGAGGGUACCAAAAUAUCUGACAAUGGUACAAGCUGUUUUGAAUUUGUUGGUAGUGGACUUGUUAGUAAUGGAGAGGAAAUGGUAUGUCUUGCUUCUAAGAGAGAGAGAGAGAGAGAGAGAGAGAGAGAGAGAGAGAGAGAGAGAGAGUACUUGUUAGUAAUGGAGAGGAAAUGGUAUGUCUUGCUUCUAAGAGAGAGAGAGAGAGAGAGAGAGAGAGAGAGAGAGAGAGAGAGAGAGAGAGGAGAAAAGAUUCUUUUUCAAUUUUAUCUUAUUCUGUAACAAAAAAAGGGAAACAUGUAUGACUAUGUUUGAUAUGUUGGUGAAAGAUGUCUUUUUUACUUUGUCUUCUUAUGUGAUCAAACUUUAUAUGAUGCAUACAAUCCAAUGUCAUGGCACCAUGUAUCAUGAUUUUUUUAAAAAAAGACUUAUGAUUUUAUGAUUGAAAUGCAAAUUCAAAAAUUAUGUAGAAACUCUCAUUUUUGUAACUUGAUUUUUAUUUUAAAAAUGAAAAUGAAAUGCAAAAAUGCCCCUUAAAAUAAUGUGAGAAAUGCAUAUGCAUAUGUCAUUUACUUGAUUUUUUUUUUUUUGAAAAUUAUCAUUUAAGUAUGCAUGAACAAAAGUAUGAAUCAUGAUAAUACCAAUUGAGAAAAAAUUCAAAGAUUAAAAUGUAAGUAUAUCCUAAUGGCAAUUAUUAUGGUCAAAGAGAAAUUUAAAACUCCAAUAGUGCAUGAAAUGAAAAUGGUAAAUGCAGUAAAAUGACAUGAUAUGCAAAUAUUCUAAAAUGACCUUCUUUUUUUAAGGAAAGAUGAAGAGUAUUGAUAUAUGGCUCAUAAGAAAACAAACAUUUAUUUCUCAAUAAAAUAAAAAGGAUAUCAAAUAAAUUAUGAAUCAAAUCUCUUUUAACACUUCAUUGAAUUCAAAUGGUGCAUGUGACUAUGUAUGAAAUGAUAUGGAUUUUUUCAAAACGAAACCUCAAAAUAGAAGUUGAUCUCAGUUUUAAUUGAUCCAUGCAUAAAAAAGGGAUCUUAUGACCAAAUGAAAUGGUUAUAAGAAAUUAUUCAAAAAGAGAUGCAUAUGAAUGAUUUUAGGGAGGGGGAAAAUUCAAGGUAUAAAAAUAGGCAGCGGAUAUAAAGUGAAAGAAAGAUUAAACGACACAUAUAGUUAUCUUGGUUCCUCUCACAAUUCGAGAGUAAUCCAGUCCUCUUGUACUUACAAGAUAUUUUUACUAUAAUCACACAAGUUUACAAUUUUCUCAAGCACAUAAGCAAGACACUUCUUUGCUUACACACACAAGUAUAAGACUUCAUUGCUUAAGCACGUAAUAUCACGACUUCCUUGCUCACACACACAAGUAUGAGACUUCCUUGCUCAAGCAAACAAGCUCCAGACUUCCUUUCUCACACAAAAAAUUAUGAGACUUCCUUGCUCAAGCCCACAAGCUCAAUACUUCUUUGCUCAUGCAAAUAAGAUAAAGACUUCCUUGCUCAAGAACACACUUUCAAGACUUCCUUGCUCUACCACACAAGCUAAAGACUUCUUCGCUCAAGCAUACAAGCUCAAGAAUUCAUUGCUCUAGCACACAAGCUAAAUACUUCCUUGUUCAAGAACACAAGCUCAAGACUUCCUUGCUCACACACACGAGCUAAAGACUUCCUUGCUCAAGCAUACAUGCUCAAGAAUUUCUUGCUCUAGCACACAAGCUAAAGACUUCCUUGCUCAAGCACAUAAGCUCAAGACAUCCUUUCUCUAGCACACAAGCUAAAGACUUCCCUGCUUAAGCAUACAAUCUCAAUACUUCCUUACUCAGACACACAACUAUGAGACUUCCUUUCUCAAAUACCUGGUAAGAGACUUCUAACAAUCUACCUAGCAGAUAAAUGAUUUUUGGGUGAAUACACUUGAUUUACAAUCAGAGGUGUAUAAAUAAUACAACACAAUAUGACUCUUUUAGGACUUAAGUAUUUCUAAGAUAUUCAAGCAUAAUAAAUCCUAAUUUUAGCCUGUGCUAAAACUUUGACAGAGUAGUUUCUCUUUGAUUUUCAAUCUUUCCGUCUUAGCAUGUUUAGUGUGUAUUCUUUUUUGUUGUGUUCUUGUAUUAUUAGUGUUGUUGUGUUAUUAUGUUGCGUAGAUCUUCAAGUCUUUUAUUUCCUUAAAUAAUGAGGAAAAUAUCCUUUGAAGAUGCAACUGUUGAGUCCUUUGAGAAACUUUAAAAGAGACGUUGGGAGACAUUGAGAUGUCAAACUCUUAGGUUAGGUGAAACCUAGUUUGAAUAACCUUCGCAACAAAAGGAAUUAAGAAUUGUAUCCCAGAAGAAUCCUUGAAGAACCUAGAGCUUUAGGUUAUCAUGUGAUAAAGUAUGUUCAGAGAUGAAUAGUGACCCGUAAGUAUCACCUUGAUCCUUGUGCUUUGACUAGCUCAAGUUCGGAUCACCAAAAGUAGACUUCUCCAAAUUUUGUUCUUCAGAGGCUGACUCCUUCAGAGUAUGAUCUUUAAAUGCUGACCUCUUUAGAAGAUGACUUCUUUAGAGUCAAUUCUCCAACUUCUGAUACAUCAGAAUAUGAUCUUCAUGCUUCUCCUUGGAUGUUCAGAGUCAGAACCAAUACUUGGAAUUAAUAUGAAUUUUAGUCUAUGGUCCUGCACACUUGAACAAACAUUAGUAUCCCUAUUGUUAUUUAAUUACUUUAUUAUCAUCAAAACCCAAGGGAUAUGGGAUAAACCAAUUUUGUUCCAAUACAACGUAAUUGAGGACAACUACAUAACUUUGAACACAACUUAAUUAAGUAUCUUGUAUGUGAGGGACUACACAAAAUCCUUGAGAAAGACAAUUAUGGAAAGUUGACAGUUGACCUAAUGGAAUUGACAAUUAAAAAGAAAAGAAUAAAUCUAAUAAUCAAACACCACCUUGAUGAUGGAAUACAAACAAAAUAAUCAAACGCAAAAUAUCCCAAUAUAUUGUGGGAAAAACUUAAGGAAUGUUUUGGACAUAAAAGAAAAGUCUUAUUUCCCUCAUUGAUGGAUCACUGGAAAAAAUUAAGGUUCCAAAGUUAUAGAAGCAUUGUUGCAUAUAACUCAUUCAUGCUCCAAAUUGUAGCCCAUCUAGAAUUAUGUGGUAUAGUCAUUGUUAAGAAAUGUGGUUAGGUCUAACUCAACCCUAAAAAACCGGUUGGUAGAGUGAGGAGUGUCCUCACUUAUAAACACAUGUUCAGGUUAUAUAUUAGCCGAUAUGAGACUUUUAACACACAUCCUCACGCCCAGGACUUGACAUCUAGAGCGUGGAAAUAAAUGGUGUGUGGUCCGAUAGCAGAAACCAUAAUAAAUGGCCCAUUGGAUCUUAGAUGAGGCUCUGAUACCAUGCUAAGAAAUGUGGUUGGGCCUAACUCGACCCUACAAAACCGGUUGGUAGUGUGAGGAGUGUCCUCACUGAUAAACACAUGUUCAGGUCAUAUAUUGUCCGAUGUGGCACUCUUAACAGUUAUAACUGAAGAAGAAAAGUUGGUAAAAAUAUCUUCAACCUUUCAUGCAUCACAACUACUGUUGUAACAACAAUAAAGAGCAAGAUGAUUUAUUGUGUAAUUUGAUAUAACGAUAGCCAUUCUAGUAGAAAACAAAAUAAUAAGCUCCUCUUAAAAAAUACUACCAGCUAUGUCCCACGGAACAAUAUCAUAUCCUGAAAUAAAUGUCACAUAAUUUAAUGAAGAGCGUGAUGACUAAAAUUAUCCUAAAGUACGUGGUGAUCAUACUCGACUUGAUGGUCAUAGUCGAGGAAAAAAUCACGGUCGAAACCACUUUUGUGGUUGAGGUUAUAAGAAUAAUUAUAGGUCUCUCAAAUAUGACCAAACUAAUAAGAACUGUGAAUUAAGGGGAAACUAUACUGAAGAAGGUCCUUCGAGGAAUCGUGAUGAUUUUUGGUAUAGAUGUGGAAAGAAAGGUCAUUGGACUAAAGCAUGUAGGACGCUAGAACAUCUGUGUAAAAGAUACAAGACAUCUGUAGAGGAAAAAGAAAAGAAAGUAAAUUUUAAAAUUGAACUAGAAAAUGAUACUACCUACCUUGAGGUUUCUGAUUAAGUUGAAGGAGAAAAAGAAAUAAAUAUGGAUUAAGUAACUACUUAGGAAUAUGUAUUUGAACAGUGUGUGGUGUUCUUGUAUUACUUUUAUAUUUACGCUACGUACCUACUUAAGAAUAUAUAUGUUGUGUGACGUGUUAUGUCUUAUGUAAUGUGUAAUGUGUAAUAGUGUUGAAUAUAUUGUGUUGAUUUACUCUCUCUUUAAUAUUAUUUAUACUUUAAGAAGGUUAGACAAGGAACAUGUCAAAGACAUUUGCAUUCUAGACAGUGGAACUACCCACACAAUCCUCAAAAGUAAGAAAUAUUUUACUAAAAUAAAUCUUACUAAAGGUGUAAAAGAUACAAUCUCAGAUCCUGCAGAUUUGAUUGAAUGAAUAGAUAAUGUUAUGUUCAUGUUAUCAAAUGGGACAAAGUUUGUCACUAAUGAUGCUUUAUACUCUCUGAAAUCAAACAGAAAUUUGUUGAGUUUAGUUGACAUAUAUCGUCAAGGAUAUGAUACUGAAACUGCAAUUGAAUGUAAUAUGAAAUACAUUAAUAUUACUACUAAUAUUUUGGAAAAGAAGAAAACUUAAAAAAACUACCAUAACUUCCUUCAAGAUUACAUUAUAUGUGGACUCAUUUCUUAAAAGAAUUCAAUUUGAUAUAUGUGAACUCAUUCAUCCACCGUCAGUACUAUUCAGGUAUUUUAUGGUAUUAAUUAAUGUAUCUAGUAGAUGGUUAUAUGUAUGUUUAUUGUCAAGUCGUGAUAUGAAAUUUAUGAAAUUUCUUGCAUAAAUAAUUAAACUAAGGGCUCAACUAUAAGAAAAAUUAGACUUGACAAUGCCGGUGAAUUUACAUUUGAAUCAUUUAAUAAUUAUUGCAUGUCAAUUAGAAUUAUUGUUGAACAUCAUGUUCCUCAUGUGCAUACACAAAAUGGAUUAUCUAAGUAAUUAAUCAAACAUCUUCAAUAUAUCGUUAGACAAUUAAUAAUGAGAACUAAACUAUCAAUUAUACUUUGGGGAACCAAAAAGGUAUGAAUCUUGAUGAAAUAUUUUCAUUCUCCAUUUCAUAUAAAAUUAUGAAUGUAAAUAAUGAUCCGAACCCAAAAAUAUUAAUGAAUGUCAAAAUAUACAUGAUUGAAAAAAUUGAAAGGACGUAAUAGAUAUUGAGUUAAAAUAUGUUAAAAAUCAAAAAGUAUUUGGGUCUAUUAUGACUAUACCUAAAGGUAUGAAAUCUAUUGGGUAUAAAUGAGUCUUUGUAAGAAAACAACAUUAGAAAAAUGAGAUCCUAAAAUACAAGGCUUGUUUAGAUGUAUAUAUUACAAAACUAUGUAAAAUCAUCUUAAUAUAUAAAUUGAUAAGUAUUAUUUUAAAAUAAAUUAUUUUAAAGUUAAUUAACUUAAUAAUAAAUAAAAAAUGUAUAUAUUAUGUUUUCAAACAUUAAAAAAAAUUCAGUUUAUUAUUAAAAAUUAAUUUUUAUUUUUUAUUAAAUAAAAAUAUAAUGUGCGAAUAAAUAUAAUGUUAAUAAAUUUAAAAUUUAAUUAAGUUAUCUAUAAUACUUAUAUAUAAUGUCUUAUUAUGAUUGAUAACAUUUUUAUAUGAACUAUUUAAUAAGUGUUUUAAAGGGACAAACAUAAUAUAUUGAUAUAGUCAAUGUUAGAAAUCCACCGCAAUAUAUAAAGAAUUUCUAUCAAUUUUGAUGAACAAGAUUGUUACAACCACACAAUGACAAUGAAAAAAUAAUUGAAAAAGAAAAAAAAGAACGAUAGAGAAGAAGAAAAUUUUCUACAGAGUUUCUCUCUGUCGACAAUCUUCUUUUAUUCAUUUUUCAACUGCAAAAUUUUGUGAAUACAAUGUUAUAAAUACAUCAAUAUUACAAGAAUAAUAAGGGUUACUCAACAUACUAAGCGAUUCGAUAUUUCCUUACUUCUGUCGAACAAUUUGUUUCGAUAGAAGAAAUAACAAUUCUUCGUCAAGAGACACUCAAUAAUUAUAUAAUAUUAUUAUUAUGUAGUGAUUUUCCAUUUUCUAUCAUGAAAGGUUAUUAAAUAAUUAAUGAUAUUUACGAAUAAACAAAGAAUACUUAUGAUUGAAAAGGCAUUUAUGUGACCUUCUUAUUAUAUGUGCCUAAGGAAAAACACAUCCCAUUGAUGUACUUAAGAGGUAUAUAACAAUUAUUCAAAUUUUAGAAUUUUAUAUUUACAAGUGCUACGUGCACAAAAAAAACUUUAUAAGUAUUAAACAUAUAAAACUAAUGUAAGCAGAGCGUUGAGUUUAUAAAUCUUAAAGUGGAAAAUAUCCUAUUUACAUGCAUAAGGUAGAAACUAUGAGUAAGUUUGUUCAUGUCAUGAUUAUAUUUUUCUUCAUAUUUCUUGUUACAACGAGCGUUAACGGUAUGUCUUUUUUUUUUCUUUUCAAAUUUCCAUUUUACUCAAUGCAUAAUAUUUUAUCCAAUUUUAUUAAGAUUCAUUUUUAUUUUUUUCCGUAGCUGCGGUGCGUCAAAAAUGUCGUACUCAACAUGACUGUCCAAAAUACUAUUGCUACCCUCCUAGGAUAAUUAUGUGUGUAUACCGUUUAUGUGAAUGUAUUUGAGAGAUUUCACAUAUGAUAUGAUUACCAGAUCCAAGAGAGGAUAAACACACUCUACUAUAAUAUAUUUCAUGGUUGUACUUUGUAGUUAUGACUUUCAACUUUAAGAAAUGUUAAUGAAAUGUAUCAACACAUUUCAACGAUAUUCAAUCCGUUUUUAUUAUAAAUCAUUCUAUUUUUUAUUAUAAAUAGUUUAAUUUCAUACGUAUAUAAUUACGGUAUAAAUAAACAAAAU